AGGACGAACGCUGGCGGCGUGCCUAACACAUGCAAGUCGAGCGGAGUUAACAAGAGGAAGUUUCGGAUGGAAUUUGUAAUUAGCGGCGGACGGGUGAGUAACGCGUGAGCGACCAACCUUGCACAGGGGGAUAACGGACCGAAAGGUUCACUAAUACCGCAUGAGACCACGGUGUUGCAUGACACAGAGGUCAAAGGAGCAAUCCGGUGCAAGACGGGCUCGCGUCCGAUUAGGUAGUUGGUGGGGUAAUGGCCCACCAAGCCUAUGAUCGGUAGCCGACCUGAGAGGGUGAUCGGCCACAUUGGAACUGAGAUACGGUCCAAACUCCUACGGGAGGCAGCAGGUGGGGAAUAUUGGGCAAUGGGGGGAAAAACCCCCUGACCCAGCAACGCCGCGUGAAGGAAGAAGGUUUUCGGAUUGUAAACUUCUGUCCUUGGUGAAGAGAAGAAGACGGUAGCCAAGGAGGAAGCCCCGGCUAACUACGUGCCAGCAGCGGC
rnacentral:rRNA from 1 species